UUUUCCCCGGCUGGACGUGCAUGAAUCCAACAGAAAUUAUUUUACAUCCAUUAAAAUGAAGAGCAAAUGGCAGUGCGAUGCCAAUGAAUGGCAUUCCGGAACCAAUAAAGGUCACCACAGCCCCACCUUAUGGGGCACCAUUCCCUCAGCCUCGCGUUUUACAGCUGAUUAAAACAAUACCAACAUUCCUCUAAUAUGAGAUAUUACAUGAAAAGGCUGCUCCUCGUUAACACAGCAUUAAUGCGGCACCACCGCUGCUCCUUGCAUGGAAGUGGGGCCAUCAGAAGCCCAGGAGCUGAGAGCAGCUCAGCAGGCAGUGGCUGCAGGGACAAGGAGUGCUCAGGCAGUUAUUCAUCCGAGUCCAGGUCACUGUCCCCUGCAAUGGAGUGAAAAUCCUCGCUGUCUUCCUCAUCCUCAGACAGGUGCACCUGGCUUAACACGCUCGGUCCACAGCGCUGCUCUUCUUCUUCCUCCUCCUCCUCGGAGAUCUCGUACCCCCCGAUGCUGCUGAAGCUCGUAUCCCUUGUGUUGGACUUUGGGUCUGGCUCUUCGUAGCUGCCGUAACUGAUAUUACUGUCCUCCAUAACCUGAGAUGUCUCCCCACCAUCGCCCUCGUAAGACAUCAUGCUUUCUUCAUUGUCCAUGCCCAUUCGUGUGUUCUCUUGAAGAACAUGAGGCUGUUUAGGUCUCACUGCAUUGGUCUCCACAUCUGAAUCACUGCCACUCUCACUGAGCUGGAUAGAUGAGAAAGGAUUAUCGCCUUCUUCAUCACUCCCAUCAUCAUCAUCCUCUCCAUCUGACAUGAGCAGAUCUUCAUACAGGACACUGGCCUGGGGCUGCUGGGUUGAUCCUUCUUCUUCAUCAGCAAGGUCACCGUCUGCAUCUUCAACUUCUGGGGCCGGAGUCUUAGGUUUCCCAUCAUCAUCCUCAUCAAACCCUUCAAUAUCUACGUCAGAGUCUUCCUCGCCCAGCCUACCUCGCCCCUGGCGCAUCUGCGGAGUGUAGGGACCCGGGGUCAUAGGAUCAAGACUUUCCAGAUCUGCCUCCUCUAGCGCUGCUUCCUUAGCAGUAGAGAUGUCUCUCUCAAGUUGAGUCAGGUGCUCAUCGUACUCAGCUAAAGUUUGAUAACAGAUGUUUACGAUCUCCUGGGCUGUUUUUGUGUAUUGACUGUCUG
rnacentral:lncRNA from 1 species